AUCAGCUUAUUAGUCGAGACUCCAAGACCUGAAAUGGGUGUGUCAGACAAAGGAGACAUGCAAAAUGUGCAGUGCUGGGGAGCCUCCAGGAAUAUGUUUGGGAACCCCUUCUCUAACCAUUGGGCCACAACUGCACCAUGAUGAUAAUAAAUGAUAAUAAAGCAGCAAAUUUCAGCACUUAUGAAGUAGCAGAACUGAGGCUGAACUGUGCCAGUCAGGUGACCUCUCCAGCCGCUGCAGUGAAGUGAUAGGAAAGCGGUGGGUCUUGGCACUUAAUCAACCGAAGUCGAAUAACGCUGCUACAAGGAAGCAGUGAAUCCCUGUUAACUAACCCAGAAUCAACUGCAGUGGAACCAUGCGGUGUCAGGAGCCAAAACAGUGAUAAUGAAAUAAACAACAUUUAUGAGGAUAACAUACAUCAGCUAUAACCUGCUGUUUUAGAGGUUUUACUUAACUGAGUGGGCUGAGCACCGGCAGUGCCUGCAAUGACGAAAAAGCCUAGCAGACCUUGUUAAAACACCGCAGCCAAGAGAGGAGAAGAAGGCGGUGCCUAUGGAACAAGUCCUACUCUACCCGCUCCAAUCGGGACUUGAAAUGGCAUUGGGGAGUGAGGUUUACACGCACAACUCUUACUAGCUUGCCUUCGUUACACCUAAACUGCUGCUGACAAAACAGUUGUUAUGGGCUUCCUAUCAUAAAACUAGCUUUCCAGGAUCCGAGAAGCUAGCGAAGAAACUUCCAGAUGGAAUGAGGCAAAAGUGUUCGGAGAAGCCUAUUCUGACGCUGAGCAUAUGUCUUCAAUAGAUGUUCUGCUCACCCAUGCCCAUGAGGGCUUGUAGAGUGGUCUCGAAACCCUAUAGGGCAUUCCACGUUCUGUGAACUGUAAGCCAAAGCUAUCACAUCCACAAUCCAAUGGAAUAGCCUCUGCUUCGAUACCAACAGACCCUUUAGUGCAACUACCGAAGCACAUAAAGAGCUGCACAGAGAGUCUAAACUGCCUAGUGUGCUCUACAUAAAUACGCAGAGCACGUAGAGGGCAAGAAACUGCAAGGUAGGGGGGUUGUCCCUGGCAGCAGGUUAGCUUGGAGCAAAAGCUGAUAUAGGUAUAACCUGGACUCUGAACAAUGUUGAGAGCACCUUAGGAACAUAACCUUUUCUUAAUUUGAAAGCAACUCUACAGUCACUUGAGCCAAAAACCAUGCAGGACUCGCUAACUAAAAAAAGUGCACAUAUUCACUCACUCGCUUAACUGAUGCGAGUGCAAGCAAGCACUGUCUUGAAAGAGAGCACUUACAGCGAAGCCAACUGGAGUGGCUAAAAUGGGGAGCAUGUCAAGGCUUUCAGAUCUAAAGCCAAAUCCCAAGUGGUGAUUGUAGAUGGGCGAGCAGGGUUUAGCCGUCUCAUGCCGUGUAAAAAUGUACGUAUACUUUGAGCGUAGAAGGCGCACGGCCGGCAUCUAAGCACUCCAUCAAGAAUGGAAUCAAACAAGGGUCCUCAUUUCUCAAGCUGGACCAGCUCUCAAAGACUUUCCAUUUAUGAGCAUAGAGGCGCCAGGAAGAAGGGGCUCUUGGGGCUCUGGCUCUUGCUUCAGUACUUUAGAUUGAGCACCCCGCCUGAGAGGAGGUCCCCCCGGGGGAUAUGCAUAUGAUGGUGACAAGCCAUUGUAGCGUCUGUAUACUUGAGCAUGAAGGGCAUACAGUUGGGCAUACUCUUGAAUAAAGACAAAGUGAUUGACAUGGGGCAAUUCACCAGUGCUCUAGUCCAGCUUUCUAUACUAGUUAGUGGACGAUACUCAGAUUAGCAAUGUCAGAAAACGCCUGUGAUCUGAGACAUGAGAAUAGACAUAUUUCAGGUCCACUGAUAUAAUGUCUGUUUCAGUGCGCUCAAUUAAACUAAUGCUUUGACAGAGCGUGAUUUGGUGGUCCCAGAUCCAAGAUGAGAAGGGAACCACUGUCUUUGAUGGGGCCCGGACAGUGGCCUGUCACACUUCUGUACAACAUAUAGUAACAGAAGCUGAAACAUUUUGUGCUUAAAACUAGGCAACCAAAAGCUGGGAGCUGCUUAUACUGUGAGAGUGAGGAAGAGCUGGAGAUAUGAAACUGCUGCACUUUUUGUGUAUACAUAUAUACUGACUUAAUGCACUGCACAGUGGAACAGUCAGAACAUGAAGGCAACUAUUGUUCUCGUCGCCCGCAACGAGCAGGGGGGACGUGAGAGACAGAAACAAGAGAGCGGACAGUCUUGCUUUGUGGAUGAGAGCAAAGUGGCGGUAUUGCUUACGUUACAGCAGCGAUGAGCUACCGGACCUAGUUAAAACACCAUGGGUUGAUGAGAGCAAAGCGACGUCAGUGCCGGUGCUAUUACCUAUAUCACAGUAAUGUGAGUUACCGGGCCUGGUUGAACACAGCUCCUGAUUUACUGCAGCGGCAGUGUUGGUGCUUUAUCCAUCACAGGACUUGUCAAUAUAAUGCCCAAAUAUCAAUAAGGUACAGUCAUGAAGGAAGUAAUUACAGAUUGGGAGUGCACUUGUGAAAGGUGGGCUUGCAUCAACAUAAAGCCCAGUUUCACUCCCUGAGAAGGGGAUAUGCUGGGAGGUUGAGUGGCAGAAUCCUAUUAUAGUUUAACACACUCUCUGAAUGAACCAUGAUCAGUCAGUCAUCAAGAUCAUUUAGCACACGAACUCCACUAAUUUUAGAAGGGAGAGAACCACGUUCAUACAUUCCAUGAAUGUACACACUCAUUGUAGGGAGUGCUAAGUGGUUCUCUGUGCUCAUAAAGCAAUUUUGUGAUGAGGGCUAUCUGAAUAUAGAAGUAGGCACUCGCCAGAUGUACUGAGAUAAACAGCGCUUUAAAGCAAGGGGUGAGAGAACCUUCUGUUUUUCAGCUUUGUUGUACAGCACAGUGGAACAAUCACAGCACAAAGACAACUAGUGAUCUCAGCGCCCGCAAUAGGCAGGAAAACUGAGAGGGGUAAGACAAUGGGUAGACUUUACUGUCAACCAUUCCACAACGUUACGCAGCACUUUCCUCGUGUCAGGAACGGAUGGCAUUUUGGCCACGAGUUCUCUGGUUUUGUAGCUGGCUCAGGCUCUAUGCAAGAGGCUGAAGCUGGGCUUGAUAACCAUCGUGCAGAGCACUGUGCAGAGGAAGAUUGCUGAAAGCAGCAGCACAGCCAAUGUAUUUUUAUAGGAGGGCUAUGAGAGACAGCAUUGCCAGUGUACGCAGUGGUUAAUGUAAGCAACACAGCCAGUGCUUAUCAUAGAAGUCAUGAACGUCAGCAGUGCCGGCAUAUAUAACGACAGGGGGCUGCAUAAAUCGACUCCUAAGAGUCACCGGCGCUCAUCCUAGUCAUCUUCUGACAUGCCAAAAGAGAACAAAAGAGGUUACGGGUUCCAACGGAGGGGCAGAGACUGUUGAGGCAAGCCGAUACUGACUUGGAGCAAGCUCGUACCCUGACUCUUCAGCCUCCGGCUGCUCCUUACUCUGUGGCUCUUGGGCGGCGGAGGGUGGAAGCAGUUCAGCGGCCAGCUUAUCGUCAAAGAUGGUGUCGAUACGGAGGUGAAGGAUCCUGACACUCAUCGCUUCACAGUGAGGAUAGCCAAGUCCUUCCAGCACUGAAAGAAAUAGCCAUUCUUACCGGAACGCAUGCAGGGGAGCGGUAAUCAGGUGCUGUCCGCUGGUCGGAGUAAAUCUCAUCGUCGAGUAGCAAUUGGCUUCCUGAAGACAGAGCAGCUGUCUGAAGGAGAAAGAUUCUGAAGAAAUUCCAUUCACCGCCACCUUACAUAUGGGGAGCAUUCUCGCCCCUAUUUCAUCCGCUUGAACGUCAUUGGCCAUUGUGUUAUAAUGGCGUUAUCCUAAUAAGGCUUCGGUAUUUAGCGUCAGCUCUGACACAACGUUGAGGGACCAAGUUGAUAAGUGUAAAGUUAUAUAUAAGGUUUGUAAAGUUGUUUUUAAAGGUGUUGGGAAAAAAAUAAUUUGAAAAUAAAAAUUACAGCAUUAGUAGUAGCCCAUUACUAAUUACUAAAUUCUUCUUACUGACAUUAAUAUUCAUUAAUGUUCACGUAUUAACCUUAAAUAUAAUAAACCCCCACCAAAAAUAAAACAAACAAGCAUACUAACAUAAUCAAAAGUGCUUUUUCAGCCUGAAGAAUUAAACAACGGUCAAUCAAAGAUUUCAAACACUUUUUCAGGAGGAGUACAAUUACUUUAUACUUAGUACACAUAUGGCCAUUACAACAUAAACUAAUAAAAAUAAAUAAAUGAACAAAACUAACCUGAAUAACGGGUCAGAAACAGUCAGAGGUCUCUAUCCUAGUGAAUGGUCCAUUCAAACAGGAAUGUAGGGUCUCCAGUGAACGAACCCAGAGUGUCUCUCAGUACCGUAGAGAUGAUCCCUCUCCGAUCAAAGGGGUCAAACUCCACUUGCCUUCAUGUAACAAUACACGCUGGUUAAAAUGUAAGGGCGUUUUAUUACCAAAACAGUAAUGACAACAGAGCAAUGUUGCAACAUCACUUAUACAGAGUUACUUAGUAGAGGCGUCAACAUUUAUUAUACAUGAUACAUUACAAAAGAAAGGAAAACAAACUCUGAAAUAGCCAUCAUGUCAUU